UGGGGAAUCUUGGACAAUGGGCGCAAGCCUGAUCCAGCCAUGCCGCGUGGAUGAUGAAGGCCUUAGGGUUGUAAAAUCCUUUCGUUGGGGACGAUAAUGACGGUACCCAAAGAAGAAGCUCCGGCUAACUUCGUGCCAGCAGCCGCGGUAAUACGAAGGGGGCUAGCGUUGUUCGGAAUUACUGGGCGUAAAGCGUACGUAGGCGGUGACUCAAGUCAGAGGUGAAAGCCUGGAGCUCAACUCCAGAACUGCCUUUGAAACUAGGUCGCUAGAAUCACGGAGAGGUGAGUGGAAUUCCGAGUGUAGAGGUGAAAUUCGUAGAUAUUAGGAAGAACACCAGUGGCGAAGGCGGCCAACUGGCUCGAUACUGACGCUGAGGUGCGAAAGCGUGGGGAGCAAACAGGAUUAGAUACCCUCGUAGUCCCUGAGCGGGCUGGCAAGGCGCAU
rnacentral:rRNA from 1 species